UUCUCAUGUGGUGACUACAAAUAAAAUUCGCUGUGGGUCCUUCAGGAUCUAAAUUCCUGCUAACAACCCUAAUUUAUUCAGAAUCGCCUUUUAAUAUAAAGAGCAUCCAUCAAUCCUGGAAUUGCUCAGGCUGGGUUCAGGUCUCAAUUCUGACAUUUAUUAGGGUCAGGCGACUCUGGGCAAAUGAAUGAGGACUUCUGGAUGUGACUCCUUUCACCGUGAGGAUGAGAAUGAUACCCUUAAAGCAGGAAACUGACAAGGGCUCGCCUGUACAGGGCCAAGGUCACAGCCGGCACGCGGUAGGGAUCAGUAUACAGCGGUUCCCUUCCAACACCGGAUCUUCUCCGUCGUAGACUGCCUGCCUCUGUCCUGUACCCCACCUCGGGUGGGCGCCUCUGAGGGCAGUGGAGGACCGUGCCGUGUCCGCUGAGGAGGAAGCUGAUGGGCCGCAGAGUGGGGCGUCUGGAGAGAUGGAGAAAGCAGGACGCCCCGCAAAAGCAGAGAUCCCAGAAAACUCAAAGGUUCACAAUGAGCAAGGCAAAAAAAAAUGCUGGGGAAUUUGAGCUGUGGCCCUCAAAACAAAGCCGCCAGGCUCAGCCUCUUUACCCUGGUGCUUUUCUACUCUGCGGCGUUUCUGAACUUCGGUGCCAUUGACCCGCGGGAGCUUCUGUUUCCUCAACCCGCAGAACCAGGCCAGCCCUGCACACCCACCCCGAGGGCUCCUGGCUUCUGAGGGACAGGGGAGAAACUGAAGCAAGCAAGCGGCUCAGAGCGCAGCCCAGCUGCAGAUUCCUUCCCUUCUACGCAUGUUCUGUGUUACACACUCGGCUGUCUUUGGCACAGGAAGUGCACACACAUUCCCAGGGGCCAAGGGUCGUGCAGAUGACACACUUUCCACAAGGCCUAGAGGAAUCCUGCUGGGGACAGACCUGAAAUCCCAGCGUGUAACCAAGCUGGGGCCUUCCUGCCAACUGGAUUCUUUGAUUUCUGAAGUCAGCUCAGCCACAGAAAUAAUGAGCAACACUAUUCACUGAUAAUGCGACUUUGUCCUCCACUGACACUAGAGAUUAUUCACCAAUACUAGAGAGAGAUUAAGAAUGAAGGAAAUGUUCCAAUAUGAAUGGUUGGCAGCACAAGGCAAUGAGCACCCGCCUCACCUAAAACGUCAGAAAUACAAACGCUCACUGGAGAUGACAGCGAGCAUCCAUCUGAACUGUGGCUCCUGGGAGAGAGGGGAGCAUCCAUCAUGAUAAAAAGGUGCCCACCUUGCAUCUCAGGGGCCCCCAUGUGUCUUACAGAAUAAAGACUGAAGGAUUCAAA